GCUGCCUCGUUGCCACCACGAGAGGUGGGGACGUCAGGCGGGACCGCCGGUGGCAAACCGGAGGAAGUGGGGACGACGUCAAGUCAUCAUGGCCCUUAUGUCCUGGGCUACACACGUGCUAUAAUGGCCGGUACAGAGCGCAGCGAGGCCGCGAGGCGGAGCGAAUCGCUUAAAGCCGGUCCCAGUACGGAUUGGAGUCUGCAACCCGACUCCAUGAAGUUGGAAUCGCUAGUAAUCGCGCAUCAGCAUGGCGUGGUGAAUACGUUCCCGGGCCUU
rnacentral:rRNA from 1 species